CAGUAGCCGCGGUAAUACGUAGGUGGCAAGCGUUGUCCGGAAUUAUUGGGCGUAAAGGGCUCGCAGGCGGUUUCUUAAGUCUGAUGUGAAAGCCCCCGGCUCUACCGGGGAGGGUCAUUGGAAACUGGGAAACUUGAGUGCAGAAGAGGAGAGUGGAAUUCCACGUGUAGCGGUGAAAUGCGUAGAGAUGUGGAGGAACACCAGUGGCGAAGGCGACUCUCUGGUCUGUAACUGACGCUGAGGAGCGAAAGCGUGGGGAGCGAACAGGAUUAGAUACCCCGGUAGUCCCUGUCUCUUAUAU
rnacentral:rRNA from 1 species